rnacentral:lncRNA from 1 species
UGAAAACGCAGAAGGAAAGAAAAAGCUCAUUACCGUUCUCACAUAAGCGCUUCUCCAAAGGGAAAAAACGAUUCUCAAAUGCGAUUCUUCCCUACGAUUCACGGUUCUGCGAUAAGGCUUCUUGCAACGACAUGAUGACCAAGUCGCCUGGAUUCAAGCUCGCGACAACAACGACCAUCCACUCAUGAUUCACGGUUGGAUUUGACUCAUAAUUGGUUUAGUGUUUCGAAUCUAAGUUUAGUUUUAAUUCGUUUAGGUUCAGAACUUAUGGUAUUUUGAUUCACGUUUUUUCUUUACGGUUUGUGUUACGAUUUCAAUCGUUUGCGUUUUCUGUUUUAGUUCUGAUUGUGGUUUGAAUUACUACUGAAGCGAACAGACCUAAUCACAACAAAGUUGGAAGAAUUUUACCUGUUGAAGCGAAAAAGAGAAAAAAAUGCAGCUUUCGAUCUUGCUCACAAGGUGUUCAAUGAAAUUCCUCAACCAAUCUUUUGCUUCUUAUUUUGGUUUGUGCUAUUUGCUUCUCUUUCUUGCUUAUAUUGCUUUGUUGUUUUCUUGCUACUUGAAUUCUGAUUUAUUUAUUUUUGUUACUAUUGCUUUGGCUUAUUGAGCUCUUGAAAGGGGUGAUGAUAAUAAAGAUUAAAGAGUGGUGACUAUGAUGAAAUUUGGAGAUUUGUUGAAAGUUGAACGUGGUUGAAUGUUGUGGAUUAAUGGAGUGAAUUAUGGUGAAGAAUUUUGAUUGAGAUAGAGAUGGAUAUAGGUUGUGGAGGUUUGUUCAAGUUUGAAGAUGUUUGGAGAAUGGAGAUUGUUAAAGAUGGUGGUUUGAAGGUGGUUAUAGUGGUGGUUUGAAGAUUGAAAACGAAGUUUAAUUGUGUAGAGGAAAAGAUGAAGAUUGGAGAGAAUGAGGAAAGUGAUGAUGUGGUGAGAAUGAUGAAAAUUAUGAAUUGUGAUUAGCCUUUCAUGGUGAUGAUGAGUGAAAUUUAAAUAAAAUAGAAAUGGAGGGGAAGGUGGUUAGGGUUCAAUUAUUCAUAGCCUUUGGAUUGUAAUCCAUAUGAUAAGUUUAAGAGAGGAUGAGAUUGAAUCUCGAAGUUAGUUGGAGAUUGUAUUAGUUUUAGUGAUUGAGAUUGUUAGAGGUAGUUAUGAUAGUUAGAGAUUUGUUAGAAAGGAGAUGUAAACUAAAAUAUCAUGUAAAUGCAAAUGUGUGACAAAUUCAAAUUGAAAUACAAAUUUGAAAUGUAAAAUGCUAAUUUAGUUAUAAUAUGUAAAUAGAUGUAAAAUUGAAGGAUGUGAUGCAAAUGCGAAAUUCAAUUUUGUGAAGCAAAUGUAAUGUAAUUUUGGUAAAGUAAAAGCAUUUUUUUAUUUGAAUAAAAUGUACCUUUGUUUCAUUCAUCCCAAAAUAGAUUUUUCCUUAUGUAUAGAUAAAGCAAAAUACAAAC